rnacentral:rRNA from 1 species
GAGAGUUUGAUCCUGGCUCAGGACGAACGCUGGCGGCGCGCCUAACACAUGCAAGUCGAACGAGCGAGAGAGAGCUUGCUUUCUCGAGCGAGUGGCGAACGGGUGGGUAACGCGUGAGGAACCUGCCUCAAAGAGGGGGACAACAGUUGGAAACGACUGCUAAUACCGCAUAAGCCCACGACCCGGCAUCGGGUAGAGGGAAAAGGAGCAAUCCGCUUUGAGAUGGCCUCGCGUCCGAUUAGCUGGUUGGUGAGGUAACGGCCCACCAAGGCGACGAUCGGUAGCCGGACUGAGAGGUUGAACGGCCACAUUGGGACUGAGACGCGGCCCAGACUCCUACGGGAGGCAGCAGUGGGGAAUAUUGCACAAUGGGGGAAACCCUGAUGCAGCGACGCCGCGUGGAGGAAGAAGGUCUUCGGAUUGUAAACUCCUGUUGUUGGGGAAGAUAAUGACGGUACCCAACAAGGAAGUGACGGCUAACUACGUGCCAGCAGCCGCGGUAAAACGUAGGUCACAAGUGUUGUCCGGAAUUACUGGGUGUAAAGGGAGCGCAGGCGGGAAGACAAGUUGGAAGUGAAAUCCAUGGGCUCAACCCAUGAACUGCUUUCAAAACUGUUUUUCUUGAGUAGCGCAGAGGUAGGCGGAAUUCCCGGUGUAGCGGUGGAAUGCGUAGAUAUCGGGAGGAACACCAGUGGCGAAGGCGGCCUACUGGGCACCAACUGACGCUGAGGCUCGAAAGUGUGGGUAGCAAACAGGAUUAGAUACCCUGGUAGUCCACACCGUAAACGAUGAUUACUAGGUGUUGGAGGAUUGACCCCUUCAGUGCCGCAGUUAACACAAUAAGUAAUCCACCUGGGGAGUACGACCGCAAGGUUGAAACUCAAAGGAAUUGACGGGGGCCCGCACAAGCAGUGGAGUAUGUGGUUUAAUUCGACGCAACGCGAAGAACCUUACCAAGUCUUGACAUCCGUUGACCGACAUAGAAAUAUGUUUUUCCUUCGGGACAGCGAGACAGGUGGUGCAUGGUUGUCGUCAGCUCGUGUCGUGAGAUGUUGGGUUAAGUCCCGCAACGAGCGCAACCCUUAUGGUCAGUUACUACGCAAGAGGACUCUGGCCAGACUGCCGUUGACAAAACGGAGGAAG